GCCCUCGUAGCUCAGAGGAGAGAGCGCGCCGCUCCGACCGGCGAGGCCGCAGGUUCGAUUCCUGCCGGGGCA
rnacentral:tRNA from 1 species